AGGAGAGUCUGUCGUCCUCUCGUUGUCGGCGAGUGGCGGACGGGUGAGUAAUAUAUCGGANNGUGCCCAGUAUCGGGGGAUAACUACUCGAAAGAGUGGCUAAUACCACGGACGCCCUACGGGGGAAAGGGGGGGAUCGCAGGACCUCUCACUAUUGGAGCGGCCGAUAUCGGAUUAGCUAGUUGGUGGGGUAAAGGCUCACCACGGCAACGAUCCAUAGCUGGUUUGAGAGGACGACCAGCCACACUGGGACUGAGACACGGCCCAGACUCCUACGGCAGGCAGCAGUGGGGAAUUUUGGACCAUGGGGGAAACCCUGAUCCAGCCAUCCCGCGUGUAUGAUGAAUGCCUUCGGGUUGUAGAGUACUUUUGGCAGAUGAAGAAGAGGUAUCCCCUAAUACUGGAUACUGCUGACGGUAUCUGCAGAAUAAGCACCGGCUAACUACGUGCCAGCAGCCGCGGUAAUACGUAAGGUGCAAGCGUUAAUCGGAAUUACUGGGCGUAGAGCGUGUGUAGGCGGUUCGGAANUAAAGAUGUGAAAUCCCAGGGCUCAACCUUGGAACUGCAUUUUUAACUGCCGAGCUAGAGUAUGUCAGAGGGGRGUAGAAUUCCACGUGUAGCAGUGAAAUGCGUAGAURUGUGGAGGAAUACCGAWGGCGAAKGCAGCCCCCUGGGAUAAUACUGACGMUCAGACACGAAAGCRUGRGGAGCAAACAGGAUUAGAUAYCSUGSUAGUCCACGCCSUAAACGAUGUCAACUAGCUGUKGRKGCCGUUAGGCSUUASUASCGCAKCUMACGCGUCAAGUUGACCGCGUAGGGAGUACGCUCGCAAGAUUAUAAAUCAAAGGAAUUGACGGGGACCCGCACAAGCGAUCGAUGAUGUGGAUUAGUUGGAUGCAGCGCGACAAACCUUACUUACCCNNNACUUGUCCGGUAAGCCGAAGAGAUUUUGCCGUGCUCGCAAGAGAACCCGAACACAGCUNCUGCAUGGUCGUCGUCAGUUCGUAUCGUGAGAUGUAGGUUUAAGUCCCGCAACGAGCGCAACCCUUAUCAUUAGGCGUUAAGCAAGACCAUUUUAAUGAGACUGCCGGUNCCAAACCGGAGGAAGGUGGGGAUGACGUCAAGUCUUCAUGGCCUUUAUGCGUAGGGCUUCACACGUCAUCCAAUGGUCGGGACAGAGGGUCGCCAACCCGCGAGGUGGAGCCAUUCUCAGAAACCCGAUUGUAGUCCGGAUNNCNNUCUGCAAUUGGAUUGCGNNAAGUCGGAAUCGUUAGUAAUCGCGGAUCACAAUGUCGCGGNNAAUACGUUCCCGGCUCUGGUACACACCGCCGGUCACACCAUGGGAGUGGGUUUCACCCAGAAAGGUCAGGUGAGCGCU
rnacentral:rRNA from 1 species